rnacentral:rRNA from 1 species
UUCCGGUUGAUCCUGCCGGAGGCCAUUGCUAUCGGAGUCCGAUUUAGCCAUGCUAUUUGCGCGGGUUCAGCCCCGCAGCGGAAAGCUCAGUAACACGUGGCCAAGCUACCCUGUGGAUGGGAAUAAUCUCGGGAAACUGAGGCUAAUUCCCAAUAACGCUUCACUCCUGGAACGGGUGAAGCCGGAAACGCUCCGGCGCCACAGGAUGCGGCUGCGGUCGAUUAGGUAGACGGUGGGGUAACGGCCUACCGUGCCUAUAAUCGGUACGGGUUGUGAGAGCAAGAGCCCGGAGACGGAAUCUGAGACAAGAUUCCGGGCCCUACGGGGCGCAGCAGGCGCGAAACCUUUACACUGUACGAAAGUGCGAUAAGGGGACUCCGAGUGUGAAGGCAUAGAGCCUUCACUUUUGUACACCGUAAGGUGGUGUACGAAUAAGGACUGGGCAAGACCGGUGCCAGCCGCCGCGGUAAUACCGGCAGUCCGAGUGAUGGCCGAUAUUAUUGGGCCUAAAGCGUCCGUAGCUGGCUAGACAAGUCCGUUGGGAAAUCUGCCCGCUUAACGGGCAGGCGUCCAGCGGAAACUGUCUAGCUUGGGACCGGAAGACCUGAGGGGUACGUCUGGGGUAGGAGUGAAAUCCCGUAAUCCUGGACGGACCGCCGGUGGCGAAAGCGCCUCAGGAGAACGGAUCCGACAGUGAGGGACGAAAGCUAGGGUCUCGAACCGGAUUAGAUACCCGGGUAGUCCUAGCUGUAAACGAUGUCCGCUAGGUGUGGCGCAGGCUACGAGCCUGCGCUGUGCCGUAGGGAAGCCGAGAAGCGGACCGCCUGGGAAGUACGUCUGCAAGGAUGAAACUUAAAGGAAUUGGCGGGGGAGCACUACAACCGGAGGAGCCUGCGGUUUAAUUGGAUUCAACGCCGGA